rnacentral:pre_miRNA from 1 species
UGAUCAUGAUGAUGUUCAUGCGCGUGGUCGUGAUCGUGAUCAUGGUGGUGAUGGUGUCCAUGAUGGUGAUCAUGGUCAUGAUCGUGAUCAUGGUCA